UUAAGCUACUAAGAGCGUAGGGGGAAUGCCUUGGCACCAAGAGCCGAUGAAGGACGUGAUAAGCUGCGAAAAGCUACGGGGAGGAGCACAUAUCCAAAGAGCCGUAGAUAUCCGAAUGAGGGAACUCAAUCUAGGUAAAUGCUAGAUUAUCAUCACAUGAGUAAAGUAGUGUGAUAGAGGGGAACGUGGGGAACUGAAACAUCUUAGUACCCAUAGGAAGAGAAAAUAAAAAUGAUUCCGUAAGUAGUGGCGAGCGAAAGCGGAAAAGCCCAAACCUGAGUGAGCAAUCACUAGCAGGGGUUAGGACAUGCAACAAAUUCCAAGAAAGAGUGUAGUAGAAGUGUUUUGGGAAAGCACACCAAAGAGAGUGAAAGUCUCGUAUAUGAAACACGAAAGAAGGAAGAGUAUGAUCCAGAGUAAGACAGGACACGAGAAAUCCUGUGUGAAUGAGCGGGGACCAUCCCGUAAGGCUAAAUACUACUUGGUGACCGAUAGUGAAAUAGUACCGUGAGGGAAAGGUGAAAAGAACCCCGGGAGGGGAAUGAAAUAGAAUCUGAAACCCUAUGCUUACAAGCAGAUAGAGCACGUUAAAGUGUGAUAUCGUACUUUUUGCAGAACGGUCCGGCGAGUUACUGUAUAUGGCAAGGAGAAGAGUUUAAGACUAAUAUCCGAAGCGAAAGCGAGUCUGAAUAGGGCGAAAUAAGUCAUGUGCAGUAGACCCGAAACCGAGUGACCUAUCCAUGUCCAGGAUGAAGCUAGAGUGAAAUCUAGUGGAGGUCCGCACCAGUAGACGUUGAAAAGUCUUUGGAUGAGGUGUGGAUAGCGGAGAAAUUCUAAUCGAACUCGGAUAUAGCUGGUUCUCCUCGAAAUAGCUUUAGGGCUAGCCUUGAACAAAAACCGUAUGGGGGUAGAGCACUGAAUGAGCUAGGGGCCAAACAAAGGUUACCAAACUUUAUCAAACUGCGAAUACCAUAAGGGAAGUUCAGGAGUCAGACUACGGGAGCUAAGUUCCGUGGUCAAAAGGGAAAGAGCCCAGACCGUCAAUUAAGGUCCCCAAGAUAUAACUAAGUGGAAAACGAUGUGAUUUUGCGCAGACAACCAGGAUGUUGGCUUAGAAGCAGCCAUUCAUUUAAAGAGUGCGUAAUAGCUCACUGGUCGAGUGGACAUGCGCCGACAAUAUACGGGGCUAAGCAUUGUACCGAAGCGGCGGAUCAGUACUUUGUACUGGUGGUAGGAGAGCUUUCUGUACGGGUUGAAGCAGUUGGAUAACCAACUGUGGACUGUCCAGAAGUGAGAAUGCUGGCAUGAGUAACGAGAGACAUGUAAAAAACAUGUCCGCCGUAAACCCAAGGUUUCCUGGGCAAGGCUAAUCCUCCCAGGGUUAGGCGGGAGCUAAGGCAAGGCCGGAAGGCGUAGUCGAUGCACAACAGGUAGAAAUUCCUGUCCCUCCAAAAGAGCGUUAUCACCAAUGGGGUGACGGAGCAGGGUAGCUAGGCGGGGUUCUGGACGUCCCCGUGAUGGCACGUAGGCUGAGAAGUAGUGAAAUGCGCUUCUCGUGAUGGCUGAGGUGUCGGACGAAGCAAUUGAGUGAAGCUAGUAAGCCCAUACUUCCAAGAAAAACCUCUAGGGAGCUCUGAGGAGCCCGUACCGCAAACCGACACAGGUGGGUGGGUAGAGCAUACCAAGGCGAUCGGGAGAACUAUGGUUAAGGAACUCGGCAAAAUUGCCCCGUAACUUCGGGAGAAGGGGUGCCGGUUUCGGUGAAGGGAUUUACUCCCCGAGCUAAGAUCGGUCACAGUAAAUAGGUCCAAGCGACUGUUUAUCAAAAACACAGGACUCUGCUGAAGUCGUAAGACGACGUAUAGGGUCUGACGCCUGCCCGGUGCCGGAAGGUCACGAGGAGUUGUUAGCAUUAGCGAAGCAGCGAAUCUAAGCCCCGGUAAACGGCGGCCGUAACUAUAACGGUCCUAAGGUAGCGAAAUUCCUUGUCGGGUAAGUUCCGACCUGCACGAAAGGCGUAACGAUUUGGACGCUGUCUCAACCAUAGACCCGGUGAAAUUGCACUAGUCGUGAAGAUGCGACUUACCCGCAGAAGGACGGAAAGACCCCGUGAACCUUUACUGCAGCUUGACAUUGGCUGCCGGUUCGUCGUGUAGAGGAUAGGUGGGAGACUUUGAACCAGGGACGCCAGUCUCUGGGGAGUCACCCUUGGAAUACCACCCUCGACGUUCUGGCAUCCUAACUUGCGACCGUUAUCCGGCGUGAGGACCGUGUCAGGUGGGUAGUUUGACUGGGGCGGUCGCCUCCUAAAAUGUAACGGAGGCGCACGUAAGGUCUGCUCAGGAUGGUCGGCAACCAUCCUUUUGAGUGCAAGAGCAUAAGCAGGCUUGACUGCGAGGCCUACAAGCCGAGCAGAUGGGAAACCAGGUUCUAGUGAUCCGGCGGCUCAGAGUGGUAUGGCCGUCGCUCAACGGACAAAAGGUACUCCGGGGAUAACAGGCUGAUCUUCCCCAAGAGUCCACAUCGACGGGAAGGUUUGGCACCUCGAUGUCGGCUCAUCGCAUCCUGGGGCUGGAGCAGGUCCCAAGG
rnacentral:rRNA from 1 species